UACGGAGGGGGCUAGCGUUGUUCGGAAUUACUGGGCGUAAAGCGCGCGUAGGCGGCUUUGUAAGUCAGAGGUGAAAGCCUGGAGCUCAACUCCAGAACUGCCUUUGAGACUGCAUCGCUUGAAUCCGGGAGAGGUGAGUGGAAUUCCGAGUGUAGAGGUGAAAUUCGUAGAUAUUAGGAAGAACACCAGUGGCGAAGGCGGCUCACUGGUCCGGUACUGACGCUGAGGUGCGAAGGCGUGGGGAGCAAACAGG
rnacentral:rRNA from 1 species